GAGUUUGAUCGUAGCUCAGAUUGAACGCUGGCGGCAUGCCUUACACAUGCAAGUCGAACGGUAACAGGUCUUCGGACGCUGACGAGUGGCGAACGGGUGAGUAAUACAUCGGAACGUGCCCAGUCGUGGGGGAUAACUACUCGAAAGAGUAGCUAAUACCGCAUACGAUCUGAGGAUGAAAGCGGGGGACCUUCGGGCCUCGCGCGAUUGGAGCGGCCGAUGGCAGAUUAGGUAGUUGGUGGGAUAAAAGCUUACCAAGCCGACGAUCUGUAGCUGGUCUGAGAGGACGACCAGCCACACUGGGACUGAGACACGGCCCAGACUCCUACGGGAGGCAGCAGUGGGGAAUUUUGGACAAUGGGCGAAAGCCUGAUCCAGCAAUGCCGCGUGCAGGAUGAAGGCCUUCGGUUGUAACGUGCUUUGUUACGGAACGAAAAGACUUCUCCUAAUACGAGAGGCC
rnacentral:rRNA from 1 species